GCCUUCCUAGUAUAUCAAUUACAAGUGACUUCCAAUCCCUAGAAUCUGGUUUAAUUCCAGAGGAAGGCA
rnacentral:tRNA from 1 species